rnacentral:lncRNA from 1 species
AAGAGUUUCAUAAGAAUUCCAGGCAGUGCUUAACCCAAAGGUAUCACCAUAUUGAGCUAAAGUGCAGUAUGGAAGGGUCAGCCCUCAGGCGUCCAAGUUCAGAGAAACUCAAGGUCUCAAGACAAGACUCACAAGAGGGGGCCAGAACUUAAGAACUAAAAGAGAGUGCAAGUGCAGAAUUCUAAAAGGGGAAAAGGGGAAGGGAAACAGUACACAUAGGGAUAUAGGGAAUGGGGAAUUGCAAGAGGUAAAAGCAGGCUAGUGGGCAUAACCCAAUAGUGGGAGAUGCUGGCACAUCCAUAAGCCUACUGGAACACAUUUUUUAGAGGUUAGGAUUCAGUAAGGGAUCAGGUUUAAUCCAUAGACAAUAACUUGCAUAUUGCCAUGUUUUAAAAUGUCACUCAAAGCCAAGGCUAGGCGCCUCAGGGAAAUGUAUAGUGCUGCGGGAGUCCGUUCACCUUGAAGUGGAACUGUUGUGGCGGGGAAUGUCACUAGUUGUGAUGCUUGCUGCUCUGGUUCCCUUUCGCCCCUCUUACAACACAAGAAAGAAGGUGAGAGUAAGCACGACUUUCUUCUUCUCUUAACUAUAUCCUAGUUAAGAGAAGAAGAAAGUCUAGCCGGAAUAAACUUUUUUACCUAAGCAAUAAACUACAUGAAAGCAAGCAGAGGAAGCGGAGAGGUACUUGAGAGAAUGGAGGGCAGGGGCCCCUAAUCGAACGCAAGGAAGAAGAGUGGGUUCCCCUAAGUAGUUGGAGGCGUCUUCUUUGAACUCAAAAACAAUUUCACUUGAAUUCUUCCUGUGAGUGAAUCCUAUCAACUAGACUCUUCCGAAAUUGCGUAAGUAAAGAGAAAGAGAUUCGCUCCUUCUGUUCCCGACAGGGCAUCAAUUUGGAACUGGAAUUAUCCACAGCAGAUCCGAAAGCUUUAGAAUUUGCCAGAGAACGAUGGCCAGCUGAAGGUAUGGAUGAAAGAAAGAAAAAAGCUUUUCUUCUUUCAGUGAAGCUUAAGCUGUCUUGUCUUUAUGUGCAUUCCUUUUAUUUAAGACAGCCUGCCAGCCAGGGGAAGGAUCUCAAGUCCGAGUGGAAGGCUAUCCCACAAUCCUUCAUGAAAACCCUCUUUAAAGCCUAUAUCGCGUCGUUUAAGGCACAGUAACCGUCUUCCAUGUUAGAUUCAUCGUUGGACCUUGUUACCGUGCCGAAAAAGACGUUAUAGCGACCAUCCUGGGCCUUCCACGAUUGUUGACCUGUCUCGGACCGGGGAAGACGUUCUUCAAGACAGGACAUACGGUACAGAAAGGAUCAUCUAAGGAUCUUGUCUGGACGGAGAUGUGUCUUUCCUAAGCAAGACGGUAAAAAAACAAUAAAGACUUUUAAGAAUACAUAAGACCUUCUUAGGAAAGUCUCUAUCCUUCUCUUACAGUCAAUCAUUCCUAAAGUCAAGACAUUGAAGACAGUAAAGGGGAAUCUGCUAUCUGAUUGCCCUGUAGGCCCCAUCUCCAUUAAAGUAUUAGCCAGUGC